rnacentral:rRNA from 1 species
CCUACGGGUGGCAGCAGUCGAGAAUCAUUCACAAUGGGGGAAACCCUGAUGGUGCGACGCCGCGUGGGGGAAUGAAGGUCUUCGGAUUGUAAACCCCUGUCAUGUGGGAGCAAAUUAAAAAGAUAGUACCACAAGAGGAAGAGACGGCUAACUCUGUGCCAGCAGCCGCGGUAAUACAGAGGUCUCAAGCGUUGUUCGGAAUCACUGGGCGUAAAGCGUGCGUAGGCGGGUUCGUAAGUCGGGUGUGAAAGGCGCGGGCUCAACCCGCGGACGGCACAUGAUACUGCGAGACUAGAGUAGUGGAGGGGGAAGCGGAAUUCGCGGUGUAGCAGUGAAAUGCGUAGAUAUCGAGAGGAACACUCGUGGCGAAGGCGGGUUCCUGGACAUUAACUGACGCUGAGGCACGAAGGCCAGGGGAGCGAAAGGGAUUAGAUACCCCAGUAGUC